rnacentral:rRNA from 1 species
UUGCCAACCGCCGCGGUAACACCGUCAGCUCUAGUGGUAGCAGUUUUUAUUGGGCCUAUUCCGUCCGUAGCCGGUUUAUUAAGUCUCUGGUGUUAUCCUGUAGCUUAACUGUGGGAAUUGCUGGAGAUACUAGUAGACUUGAGAUCGGGAGAGGUUAGAGGUACUCCCAGGGAUGAGGUGAAAUUCUGUAAUCCUGGGAGGACCGCCUGUGGCGAAGGCGUCUAGCUGGAACGAUUCUGCCGGUGAGGGACGAAAGCUAGGGGCGCGAACCGGAUUAGAUACCCGGGUAGUCC